rnacentral:rRNA from 1 species
UCGAAGGUAUACCGGUAAGGAGUGCUGGAGCGAAUAGAAGUGAGCAUGCAGGCAUGAGUAGCGAUAAUUAAUGUGAGAAUCAUUAACGCCGUAAACCCAAGGUUUCCUACGCGAUGCUCGUCAUCGUAGGGUUAGUCGGGUCCUAAGUCGAGUCCGAAAGGGGUAGACGAUGGCAAAUUGGUUAAUAUUCCAAUACCAACAUUAGUGUGCGAUGGAAGGACGCUUAGGGCUAAGGGGGCUAGCGGAUGGAAGUGCUAGUCUAAGGUCGUAGGAGGUUAUACAGGCAAAUCCGUAUAACAAUACUCCGAGAACUGAAAGGCUUUUUGAAGUCUUCGGAUGGAUAGAAGAACCCCUGAUGCCGUCGAGCCAAGAAAAGUUUCUAAGUUUAGCUAAUGUUGCCCGUACCGUAAACCGACACAGGUGGGUGGGAUGAGUAUUCUAAGGCGCGUGGAAGAACUCUCUUUAAGGAACUCUGCAAAAUAGCACCGUAUCUUCGGUAUAAGGUGUGGUUAGCUUUGUAUUAGGAUUUACUCCGAAAGCAAGGAAACUUACAACAAAGAGUCCCUCCCGACUGUUUACCAAAAACACAGCACUCUGCUAACUCGUAAGAGGAUGUAUAGGGUGUGACGCCUGCCCGGUGCUCGAAGGUUAAUUGAUGGGGUUAGCAUUAGCGAAGCUCUUGAUCGAAGCCCGAGUAAACGGCGGCCGUAACUAUAACGGUCCUAAGGUAGCGAAAUUCCUUGUCGGUUAAAUACCGACCUGCAUGAAUGGCGUAACGAGAUGGGAGCUGUCUCAAAGAGGGAUCCAGUGAAAUUGUAGUGGAGGUGAAAAUUCCUCCUACCCGCGGCAAGACGGAAAGACCCCGUGGACCUUUACUACAGCUUGACACUGCUACUUGGAUAAGAAUGUGCAGGAUAGGUGGGAGGCUUUGAGUAUAUGACGCCAGUUGUAUAUGAGCCAUUGUUGAGAUACCACUCUUUCUUAUUUGGGUAGCUAACCAGCUUGAGUUAUCCUCAAGUGGGACAAUGUCUGGUGGGUAGUUUGACUGGGGCGGUCGCCUCCCAAAUAAUAACGGAGGCUUACAAAGGUUGGCUCAGAACGGUUGGAAAUCGUUCGUAGAGUAUAAAGGUAUAAGCCAGCUUAACUGCAAGACAUACAAGUCAAGCAGAGACGAAAGUCGGUCUUAGUGAUCCGGUGGUUCUGUGUGGAAGGGCCAUCGCUCAAAGGAUAAAAGGUACCCCGGGGAUAACAGGCUGAUCUCCCCCAAGAGCUCACAUCGACGGGGAGGUUUGGCACCUCGAUGUCGGCUCAUCGCAUCCUGGGGCUGGAGCAGGUCCCAAGGGUAUGGCUGUUCGCCAUUUAAAGCGGUACGCGAGCUGGGUUCAGAACGUCGUGAGACAGUUCGGUCCCUAUCUGCCGUGGGCGUAAGAAGAUUGAAGAGAUUUGACCCUAGUACGAGAGGACCGGGUUGAACAAACCACUGGUGUAGCUGUUGUUCUGCCAAGAGCAUCGCAGCGUAGCUAAGUUUGGAAAGGAUAAACGCUGAAAGCAUCUAAGCGUGAAGCCAACUCUAAGAUGAAUCUUCUCUAAGCUCUCUAGAAGACUACUAGUUUGAUAGGCUGGGUGUGUAAUGGAUGAAAGUCCUUUAGCUGACCAGUACUAAUAGAGCGUUUGGCUUAUCUUUAAUAAAGCAU